UAUUGAUUGGCUUAAAUAAAAACCAAAACAAACACGCCCACUUCGCAGAAAAAAAAGAUGACAGAAGAUAGCCCAACAACAGUAGUGAAACAACAGGAUCUUGGUUUAACAAUCGGUAUCUCCUGCGCUCUCUUGCUGGUGUACUUGACUUUAGCUGUGAUCGUGUACCGACCACGACGGAGACGCACAGAAGAUCGAGCGCAUUCUACAUCCGACGAUAUAUAGACGCUUACACCAUGUACCAACCUUGAAUAGGAUAUAAAUGUCUGUCAAAGCCUGAAAGAACAUCCUACCCAUCCAUCUUUCUGUGUGGCAUAUUGUGAUGUUCAAAUACUGAGGAGUUUGGAUCGAAUGAUAUACUAGUAAUAUUUAAUCAAAUUAUGUGUUCAUUGUCUUAAAGAACAAGUAUGUGCAUAAGGAAUGGACUUCUAAUCAACUUAUUUAAUUGCACGUGUAUUCUAUAUACUAUGCUGUCCAUGGAAUGAAAUGACUAUAUUGGUAUCGUUCUCAUAUCAUGUAUUUGCAUCAAAAACAUGCUGGUAGUAUCUAACUGUGUAUCUAUCAAAUGUUUGAAUACUUCAUGAAGAACAUUGUCAGAAAGAAUCGUUCUACUGCCAUUUUUAUUAAAUUUAAGUUGCAUGAUGCACGCUUAUGUUUUGAAACGAAUGGAAAGAAUCUGUACAUAUGGUAACUGUAUUUUGUGCAUUUGUAAAUGACAUUAAGCCGUUUCGCUUGAGGUAACAAUAUAGCGUUAGAUUUUUUAUAAAAGAGUUUUAACAAAAUGUAACUUCUGCAUAGUAUAUCUCCUGUGGCAUUGACUUACUGGCUGCUGCGCGGAGAGAAUACUUAGAUUUAAUUUGUAGAGACAUUAUACAGUUGCGAAUUGUACAAAAGUAUGACAGUGAUAAAAAUAAUCAUGUUUUAAUAUAUAUUUCGAAUAACAGACAUUAAUGUAUAUGUACACUUUAAAUAUACAGAGUAAAUCGUUUAAUAAGUUAUUUUGAUUUUAUUUCAGUCAAUACUUUUUAAGAAAUAACACGAAAAUAUACAAUACAAAACACAUAUGAAACAUAAACACGACCAGAACAACAAUUUCAGGCCUGGUGAAUUCCUUACAGCAGCCUAGGAGCACGUACACGAACGGAAGCCCCCUGUCCCCACUCCCCCCACCCCCACACACACACAUUUGGCAACAAAAAUGAUUUUGCACAGAAAUCUCAGCAAUAAGGGAGGAAAACCUAUUUCAGAGGGCAUUCAGACGUACUGGUAAGAGUUGUAUACGAUUUCUAAUUGUCAAGGGCGUUUUUGUUUUUGGCUGUCCAAAUAUUUUGUAGGAAAAUAGGGUAAGGUUUGACUGGUCGCCCAUCCUCCUAAUCCCAUCCACUUCAAUUUUGAAAUCGCCCUACGCCAGUGUCCUCCUUCAACAUUAGGUGACUGAAUUACAAAGCGAAAUCCCUAUAGUUUACACCAUGAAUCAUUCAAGAAUACAUUUGUAUUUUCAUUUCAAAUAACAUAUAAAAACAA